AGUAUUUUAGCGUGUUGCUGUAUCUCCUGCUAAUAUCCAUUUAUCCUGCUCCAUAACAAUGGUUCUUAUACUCAAAAAUUCAGAAAUCACAAAAAGAGAAAAUCUUUCUUUUCAAUUCCCUUUCAUAAUUAAAUUACAUAAGUAUGAUUAUAGAGUUGGUAAUGCUACUUGAAAGAUACCCUGUAUGUUGCAAUGAUAAUGCAAAUUUACGUUAUUCACUAUAUUUUUAGAAUAGGUCCAUUAGUAUAAGCCGCCUUUUGAAGAAUAAAAAUAUAUACGUUCAGUAAUCUAUAGGUCAGUGGUGCGUGCCGUGCACGUGGCCACUGUUGGCCACGUGCCAUCCCGUCGACGCGUAACCAAAUUAUCUCACAAACGCGUGCUAGAUAACAGAGGGUAGGUGAAAUAAUUGGCAUGUGAACCAAUUGCGCAAUUUUAAACAAUAAUAUUCCGCGUGUGAAUAAUUUAGUGCCCUAUUUAAACUUUUCUAACUAAAACUAAAGAAAGGAUCAGGGUCAACAACAGGAGUAAUACCAAAGAGCCUGAUAGAAAACAUGAAACUGCUCAACCGUAAGGAAAGCAUCUAUAAGCUAAUGCAGAAGUCGACGCUGUUAUCCACAUCUCGAAUCGUCAUAAAGUUCAUUGGAAACGCAGAUAACAUCAACUAGUUUAAAAAACACAUCAUUUAGGAUAUCCAGAUAACUUUAUAUAGCCUAUAUAACGGGAACAAUUAACUUUUACGAACGCUUUGAAAAAUAGUUUUAUAAAUUUUAUGUUUAUAUAUAAUAGUUUUAUAAAUUUUAUAUUUUAUGUAUAUGUAACUAAAAUACAUUUUAUUUUAUGUA